AUUUUUUGUGUAUAAAAUGUUUUGUUAUUUUUUUUAUAGAAUUGCUUUAGUUGCCUUCUUGACUAACAUUUAUUGGUGAAUGGAGAGACUAGCAGGCUGAGAUUGAGGCAUAAGGGGAGGGAUUACCCCUGCUUUUCUCUUCAUACUUGUAAAUUCUGUCACUGCACGGAAGGUCAACAAUUAAGAAUAUAUAAGUUUUUUUAUGUAUCAAUGUAAGUUAGAUAAGUUAUAUCAGAUGUAUAUAAAGUAAGAUGAAAGUAUUCUUUAGAGCUCUGUAAAAAAAAAAAGCUUGUAAACAGAGGUCUAGAUAAUGCAUUAAGGGGUUUGGUUUGACAUGGGGAUUUCAAAUUAUAUUUACAAGUCAUCAUCUACAAAAAUGCAUCUGAUAUUAUUUGCCCCCAGCCCAGUUUCAUGUCCCAAAUAUAAUGACUGCAGAAUAAUGGCUACAGCUUAGUCAACAGCCUUAUUUAAAGUUUCUGAUUCACUUCCAUUCCCAACCCCACCCCCACCCCCACCCUUUUAAUAAGUAGUUAUAGAUUAAGGUUUCUUAUUGGGAGUAAUGAUUGAUUGAUUUUAAUUAAGUGUCACAGAAUUAUUAAGAUACUAAUUUCUG
rnacentral:lncRNA from 1 species